rnacentral:rRNA from 1 species
GGCCACGGCCAUACCACAUUGAAAACACGCGGUUCUCGUCUGAUAUCACCGAAGUUAAGCAACGCUGGGUUGGUUAGUACUUGGAUGGGUGACGCGCCUGGGAAUACCAAAUGCUGUUGUCU